rnacentral:rRNA from 1 species
CCUACGGGAGGCAGCAGUGAGGAAUAUUGGUCAAUGGACGAGAGUCUGAACCAGCCAAGUAGCGUGAAGGAUGACUGCCCUAUGGGUUGUAAACUUCUUUUAUAUGGGAAUAAAAUGUUCCACGUGUGGGAUUUUGUAUGUACCAUAUGAAUAAGGAUCGGCUAACUCCGUUCCAGCAGCCGCGGUAAUACGGAGGAUCCGAGCGUUAUCCGGAUUUAUUGGGUUUAAAGGGAGCGUAGGUUGAUUGUUAAGUCAGUUGUGAAAGUUUGCGGCUCAACCGUAAAAUUGCAGUUGAAACUGGCAGUCUUGAGUACAGUAGAGGUGGGCGGAAUUCGUGGUGUAGCGGUGAAAUGCUUAGAUAUCACGAAGAACUCCGAUUGCGAAGGCAGUUCACUGGACUGCAACUGACACUGAGGCUCGAAAGUGUGGGUAUCAAACAGGAUUAGAUACCCCUGUAGUC